rnacentral:antisense_RNA from 1 species
UUCGACGGCGGGCGGUGUGCGGAGGCCGAAAGGCCUGCCGGUUCCUUGUGGCCGGUCUGUCAACCGCGCACCGUCCGCCACCCUC